rnacentral:lncRNA from 1 species
CUCCUUUUAGGGAGCCACACGGCCUUGUGACACCAAUUUUGCCACUAUAUGGCGUCACCAUAUCACCAUCCAUGGUGAUGGCGUCAAGACCAACACUUUUUGGUCGCGCCAUGUCCUUUUGUAGGACAUCAAUCCUUGUAGACAUAUUUGCAGCAUGUGAUCUCGUCACUUUAACACUAUAAGCAUUUAGGAUCAAGAUGAGACUUAGUGGGGACAAACCACGACAAUUCACGUCGUUUCACUUGAACACUUGUGUUCUUAUCUCCCCCUAACGGCGGGAAUAUUGUCUCAUCAAAGUGACAAUCCGCAAUUUAGCGGUGAAUGAGAUCGCCUGACAAGGUUCCUACAUAUGCGGAUUAUAGGUGGAGGUUCAUAUCCAACCUAAACUUAUUCAUCUCAAAAUGACCCAUCAUUGUACGCAAUAGCAAUGCGAUUUGGCACCUAGAAAUAACAUCUAGCGGAGCUCAAGGAUUGGAGAUCCGUUUCAAUCCUGUCGAGCUCAAGGAUUGCAAUUUCGUGUCAAUCCUGGUACACAGUCACGAGCUGUAGUACAACAAAAUUCAAUGAUGGUGGGUCGUAAAUGAAUAGUAAAGCUGCAUGCAAAUAUUGCAUAGCCCCAAGACGCAAUAGAAAGAGUGGUGCGUAUCAAUAAUGUUCGAGCGACAAGCUAAAGUUGCUUGGUCGUAGCCUCGGUGAGACCGUAUUGCGUGUGAACAUGGGGUACAGGACACUUCAACUUACAUCCAGAUGAACUCCUUUAAAGAAUGGGUAGUGAGCCCGUAGAAGUAUAAGCAGCAUAAGCAGUAGAUAAUAGUGUAACACGUGAUCAGUGUGCUAACACUUCAACCAACACCAUAAAGCAUAAAAGGUGUCCGCAAGUUGGUUGUAUCUAUCUACAUAAUUUUAUGUAAGAAUAGAAUGUUCACUUUUGUGUUAUUUAGCAUAGGAGGGUCUCACUCCUAAUUUAGCUAAAGAAUAGGCUUUCAAAACGAGCAAUGAGCAUUGCAGGGGGCCAAUGCGACAUCGAGGAAAGGCCGGUGCACCUCAAUUGCUUGAGGAAUUGUCCGGACGACCUCCAGGAAGUUGGAGUCGUGUUCGGGUGACGUCAAUGUCCCCCGGGUCACCACCAUGCUUCAUGGUGAUGCUAGGUCUCGAAUGUCUUCGUUUUGAGCGGAAGAAUGGAUGUCCAUGAGAAUUUCUCAAAAUUUGGACCAUUA